UACGAAGGGUGCAAGCGUUAUUCGGAAUCAUUGGGCGUAAAGCGCGCGCAGGCGGAUUGAUAAGUCAGGUGUGAAAUCUCGAGGCUCAACCUCGAAACUGCGCCUGAAACUAUUAGUCUAGAAUGUCGGAGGGGGCAGGGGAAUUUCACGUGUAGGGGUAAAAUCCGUAGAGAUGUGAAGGAACACCGGAGGCGAAGGCGCCUGCCUGGACGACUAUUGACGCUGAGGCGCGAAAGCGUGGGGAGCAAACAGG
rnacentral:rRNA from 1 species